rnacentral:rRNA from 1 species
CCCUACGGGGCGCAGCAGGCGCGAAAACUUUACAAUGCGGGAAACUGGGAUAGGGGAACUCCGAGUGCCUCCCGCUUAGGGUGGCUGUUUUCCAGUCUAAAAAACGGGGGUUAGUAAGGGCCGGGCAAGACCGGUGCCAGCCGCCGCGGUAAUACCGGCCGCUGGAGUGGUGGCCACUAUUAUUGGGUCUAAAGGGUCUGCAGCCGGCUUUGAAAGUCUUUUGGUAAAUCCAGCGGCUUAAUCUUUGGUUUCUGGGUUGAUACUACAGUGCUUGGGACCGGGAGAGGUAGGAGGUACUCAGGGGGUAGGGGUGAAAUCCCGUAAUCC